AACGAACGCUGGCGGCAUGCCUAACACAUGCAAGUCGAACGAGACCUUCGGGUCGAGUGGCGCACGGGUGCGUAACGCGUGGGAACCUGCCCUUAGGUUCGGAAUAACUCCCCGAAAGGGGUGCUAAUACCGGAUAAUGUCUUCGGACCAAAGAUUUAUCGCCUUUGGAUGGGCCCGCGUUGGAUUAGCUAGUUGGUAGGGUAAAAGCCUACCAAGGCGACGAUCCAUAGCUGGUCUGAGAGGAUGAUCAGCCACACUGGGACUGAGACACGGCCCAGACUCCUACGGGAGGCAGCAGUGGGGAAUAUUGGACAAUGGGCGAAAGCCUGAUCCAGCAAUGCCGCGUGAGUGAUGAAGGCAUUAGGGUUGUAAAGCUCUUUUACCCGGGAUGAUAAUGACAGUACCGGGAGAAUAAGCUCCGGCUAACUCCGUG
rnacentral:rRNA from 1 species